rnacentral:lncRNA from 1 species
AUGCCCAUGUCUAAAAUUCCUUUAUUUAUUUUUAUUUCUUUAUUGCAGUUUCUCUUCCUCAAAAGCUUUGGUGGAAAGAUGAACGUGGAUCUUGUCUACUUUGUUACCUGUUGUAUUCUUGGUGGUCAGAAUAGUGCACAUGGGAUACACACCUACCUACUGAGAGACCUCCAAACAGAGACAUCAACAUAGAAACCUCCGCAGAGAUAACCAGAUCUCCAUAUGCAAACUCAUGCAAAAAGAAACCUAGAGAGACAGAUGCCCAGAAGAGGGGUGUGAGUAUAAGCUUUGGUGAGUAAAACCAAAGUGUGAAUUUAGGGGGAAAUGAGUACUGUAGAGAAAAUGAACAGGGCUAGAGGAGAUGGAGGAGAGGGUACAGAAAUGGUCAACAAAGCAACUUUAGGACACCCAGACAGAACGUUAAGCUUGGAUAGCCCCUAAAGGGCUUUUGGUGGUAUUCUGAACUCCCAUGCCUGGCCCAUUACCUACUGCCAAGAUGAAAAGGAGAGGGAUAGCCAUGUUCAGAGCUUUUCUCAGGAGCCCAAGUUCAGAGGAAGUCUCCUGCAAAGGUCAGUUCAUCUCCAUCCAGCACAGGCUAUAUUAGGGAAAUUUCACUGGGUGUUAACCUAUUUAACACUAAAGCCUUCUCAACCAUGUAGAUUAGUCUAAUGCUCUCUGAUGGGGUUAUCUAGGUAAUUCUCUCCUUCGCUUACCUAUGGCUAACAAACAACUUCCAUUAGCACAAGUGACCUGGUCAGUUAGUGAAUUGUGCUUAGUACACGUGAAGGCUCAUCUGUAUGAAACAGUGGGAUACUGAUUAGUUUCCCUCUAUUCCAGCAGAUGGAGCUACCGCCUGGAAGGACCCAAUGUGCUUCAGUGCCUGAUGCCCACUCCUCAAAAAACAAAACAAAACCCAAAACAAGAAGCGGUGUAGAGAGAAAGGAAAAUUACCAAAAGGAAAAAUUACUUGGUCUAGAAUUAUUUAGUGACUGUCCAAGUACCUGCACCAGUGUCUGACCAAUAAAGCAUAUUCAAUAGUGAAUACAUGUGACAUAAUCUGAUGAUCAGACGGUAGCUUGAGUUUGGAAUAGUAAUUCUGUCCUCCUUUUUCUGCUUGUUCUCUCCUCUCCCUUUGAUCUUUGUAUAUUCAUGUCCUUUGGACACCCACCUCCAUCAAAAUGUCAUAGAAAACUUCUGUGAAAUUUGAUUGGAGGUCAAACUGAUGUCAAAUGGAGGUGUGGGGAAAGGCAUGUGAUAAAAAUAGCCCCACUGAGGUUCCCACUUGUUUCCCAUGCCGUAGCAAUAGGCCCUAGGCAGUGUUUCUCAAAGUGUUUCCCCAGCCCUCUGCAUCAGUAUCAGCUGGGUUGUUUGUCAAAAAUUCCAAUUCCCAGGCCACGCCCCAAAGAAUCUGAUUCAGCGCUUCUGGACUGGGGCACUCUAAGUAGUUCUGUAAAACACAGCUUGAGAAUCUCACUCAUAGAUUAAGGAGAGCGAGCAAUCUUUUUAUCCUUAAUCCUGAAAUCUAAAGAGUACUGAGUACUGAAAACUGAAAACUGCUGGAUUUUCAUAACGCAUUUUGGCGGCAAAAUCUGAUCCAUGAAGUGACAUCAAACUAUAAAUGAUCUUUAUUUCAUAUAAUGUGGAUAUUCACACACUUUAAUGCAGAAAUACUGGUGUGUUUGAUUAGAAGUAGCUCUCCCUGACCCUACUGGUGAUGUGUGGUAUGUACACUGUAUUGACCAGUCUUUCGAAAAUCCAAGAAUUCUUGAAUUCAGAAACACACUUGGUUUUAGUGUGUUUCUGAACCCACACUUGGGUUCAAGUAAAGGGCACCUGCACUAAAUCCUCAUGUCCAGUCUAUAGGUGGUGUUUGAAGCAGUUCUAUUUGGCUCUGAUUUUUUUUUUUUUUUAAACUAGUGAAAGGAAUGUUGGUUUGGGAGCCAGAAGACAUCAUCUUUCUGGGCUUUGAGUCUCUGCCCUGAGAAGGAGAUGACAUUUAAAGUCUUCUGUCUCUAAAAUUUUGAUUUCCACACCUUCUUGCUUUCUUAAGAAAUGUUCAGAUAUUACUGCCAUAAAGAUUAUAUUGUUGUGUAUUUUUAUUCGUAUUAAAAGUUUAGAAAGGUGAAACUCUUUUUCUUUCUCAUAGAGUUUCAGACAGAUGCUUGGCUGACAUUUCUCUCAGUGGUGUGAAAGGACAUUUACCCAGAUUCUACAGAUAUUUUGAUAGAUUACUGCUCUCAACAAAACUGCAAUGAAACUACUAAAAUACAAAAGCAAUUGCGAACUCCAGAGAGUGCUAUAAAACAUUGCAGAAGAGAGUAUGGUUUAUGUUAAUUACAGAGGACUAACAAGAUGUAGAAUGAGAGAGCUGAAAAAGCCUCCACUACCAGUGGCUCUUAGAGGGUAAUCAGUCCAAGGGCAGCGCGCUGCCUGCUAGCAGAAUCCUUGUGAUCCCAAAACCCACAUGGCUGGGGUCUCUCUCUAGUCCUUUAUACAGUAAUCAAUAUUUAAAUGAUCACCCUAAAGCCCUGUCAAGUCCUGAAGCAAGAUUUUGAAAAAUAAAAAAACUCAUAAAACACAAAAUAGAGCAAAACAAUGAGCUCUGAGUUUGCUCUGUUGAAAGCAAUGGGUUGAACCCUGUCUCCCCAUAACGAAUGUUGAAUUCCUAACCUCCAGUACCACAGGGUGUGACCUUAUUUGGAGAUGCAGACAUCACAGAGGUAAUGAAAUUAAAGUGAAGUCAUUGGGAUGGGCCCGAAUCUGUUACAACUGGCAAUUUGGACACAGACACAUUCAGAUGGAACACCAUGUGAACAUAAAGGUGAUCAUCUACAAGUCAAGGGGAGAGGCUGGAACAGAUCCUUCUCUCCCAGGCCUCGGAAGGAACCAACCUGGUCAACACUUUGAUCUUGGACUUCUGGCCUCCAGAACUGUGAGACAACAAAUUUGUGAUCUUCUGUUACAACCCUAGCAAAAUGCACUGUAACACCCGAUUUCUAAUCUGAUAGCAAAGGGAGGCAUCUACAAUCUACAUCUUGUACGUUUGGGCAGUCAUUUCACCACUGGCUUCAUUUAUGUCCUAUUCUUUCUUUUCCAUUUGUUUCAUUUUUCUAAUUUUAUCUUCUAUUUUUAAAAAAGUUUACCAUACUAGAUGUAACUGUAUAAGGUGCCUGAAAUUCUUCUUAGGUUUGGAGAUGAUAUAAAUUGGUAAAUAAAGAUUAUCUGACCUUAAGCACAUGUAGCUCAUACAUGAUUGAGAUGAAACAACUAAAUAGCAAAAUAUUAAUUUAUAAAACAAAUUAAACAGCAAAUAAAUUAAAUUAUAAAAUCUGACUCUCCUGGACCAUUGGAUGAGGAACUCUAAGGGUUGACAAAGAUUUCAUAGAGCAAAUGAUUUCCGCACUCUGGGAAAGAAUUCUUCAGGCAGUAUAUACCACUUUAAAAUGGUGCUUACGUCACCAAAACAUCAGGGCUGUCUUCAACUUUUCACAACACUGAGCAAAGAGAGAGGAAGAUCACUUCUAAAUGGAGUGUAGCAGCGAUUUUAUGAAGUGUGUAAGGAACAUGACCAUUUACUGAGCAUCUGCUAUAUAGCAGGCACUCUGCUAGACAUUUGUUAUGGAAUGAAUACUUUAAUCUGUAUAAUAAACUUGCUAGGAUAUAUUUUAUACCAGUCCUACUUAAAACCAAUAAAUAUGAGGCUCAGAAAAGUAAAUUAACUCGUCUAAGAGCAAGUAAUUAGUAAAAAGUUGAGUUCGGAUUUGGUAUGAAGAAAAAUCUGACCUAAACUUGACAAUAUUUCUGCUUCUCCAAAUUGCUUCCUUAAAGUGUUUGGUUCUCUUCAAUACACUUGAAAAUUAUCAAUACCUAUAGAAAUGUCUGAUAUAAAGUCUUAGUUUAAACUAGAACAUUUAGAAAUUUUAGGCCCAGAGACUAAAAAAUAUGUGAAAUUAGUAUAAAAGUAUGGUCCAGGUGUGGUGGCUCAUGCCUGUAAUCCCAGCACUUUAGAAGGCCAAAGUGGGCGGAUCAUGAGGCCAGAAGAUUGAGACCAUCCUGGCAAACAUGGUGAAACCCGUUUCUACUAAAAACACAAAAAUUAGCUGGGCAUAGUGGCGUGUAUCUGUAAUCCCAGCUACUCAAGAAGCUGAGGCAGGAGAAUCACUUGAACCUGCAAGGUGGAGAUUGCAGUGAGCUUAAAUUGUAUCACUGCACUCCAGCCUGGGUGAUAGGGUGAGACUCCAUCUCAAAACAAAACGAAACAAAAAAAGUAUGUAAAAAUGUUUGUAAAGAAAUGAUGAUACCUUCAUAGACCAAUGUGGCAUGUAAAACAUGUGGGCCACAGAGGAAGAUUAAGAAAAAAAUACAUGCAAUCAAAUAAUAAAAGUGGAGUUACUCCAGGCUAUACUUUUUACCAAUUUCUUAGUGAGUAGAGAUUAGUAGUUAAUUAUAGAACCACUUUCUAUAUUAAGUCUAGAUAUUACAUUCUAAUCCUUAGAAAGUAGGCUGUGGAAGAAUGAAUAAUUACCCUCCAAGGCCCAUUCUCUUCUUCUCAUAGGAGAAUUUAUGGUUGCCCAGCUAAAGCUCUUAUUUUUCAGCACUCUUUGCAGAUGUGUAUGGUUAUGGACUCAGUUAUGGCCAAUGGACUAUGAGUAAAGGUCCUGUGUGACACGUUUGCUGUGCUCUUAAAGUGGAGGAGUGUGCCAUCUCAUCCCCGUGCUCCCUUUGUUGGCUUGGAAGCUGGCAGGGUGGUAGGAGUUAAACCAGCUGUUAUGGACUUUCAGAUGGAAACCACUGGUUAAGGAUGAGGGAGCAAGAAAAAGAAGAUCCUCAAGAUUGUGUGGCUCAUUUACCAGCCUGAGUUCCCAACCUGUGUUUUUGUAUUGCAGGAAAAUAAAGUGUGU